rnacentral:rRNA from 1 species
UGAGGAAUAUUGGACAAUGGGGGCAACCCUGAUCCAGCAAUGCCGCGUGUGUGAAGAAGGUCUUCGGAUUGUAAAGCACUUUCGACGGGGACGAUGAUGACGGUACCCGUAGAAGAAGCCCCGGCUAACUUCGUGCCAGCAGCCGCGGUAAUACGAAGGGGGCUAGCGUUGCUCGGAAUGACUGGGCGUAAAGGGCGUGUAGGCGGUUUACACAGUCAGAUGUGAAAUCCCCGGGCUUAACCUGGGAGCUGCAUUUGAUACGUGUAGACUAGAGUGUGAGAGAGGGUUUGUGGAAUUCCCAGUGUAGAGGUGAAAUUC